rnacentral:rRNA from 1 species
CCUACGGGGGGCAGCAGUGGGGAAUAUUGGACAAUGGGGGGAACCCUGAUCCAGCCAUGCCGCGUGUGUGAAGAAGGCCCUCGGGUUGUAAAGCACUUUCAGUGAGGAAGAACGCCUGGUGGUUAAUACCCAUCAGGAAAGACAUCACUCACAGAAGAAGCACCGGCUAACUCCGUGCCAGCAGCCGCGGUAAUACGGAGGGUGCGAGCGUUAAUCGGAAUUACUGGGCGUAAAGCGCGCGUAGGUGGCUUGAUAAGCCGGUUGUGAAAGCCCCGGGCUCAACCUGGGCACGGCAUCCGGAACUGUCAAGCUAGAGUGCAGGAGAGGAAGGUAGAAUUCCCGGUGUAGCGGUGAAAUGCGUAGAGAUCGGGAGGAAUACCAGUGGCGAAGGCGGCCUUCUGGACUGACACUGACACUGAGGUGCGAAAGCGUGGGUAGCAAACAGGAUUAGAUACCCGUGUAGUC